UACGGGGGGGGCAAGCGUUGUUCGGAAUUACUGGGCGUAAAGGGCUCGUAGGUGGCCGACUAAGUCAGACGUGAAAUCCCUCAGCUUAACUGGGGAACUGCGUCUGAUACUGGAUGGCUUGAGUUCGGGAGAGGGAUGCGGAAUUCCAGGUGUAGCGGUGAAAUGCGUAGAUAUCUGGAGGAACACCGGUGGCGAAGGCGGCAUCCUGGACCGACACUGACACUGAGGAGCGAAAGCCAGGGGAGCAAACGGG
rnacentral:rRNA from 1 species